CUUUGCAUCGCUUCCUGCCUAUCGCGUUUUCUUUAUGUUGCUGAACCCUUUGGCUGAACGAGCCUUCACCCUAUCGAGGGGUUCGUAACAUAAAUGGGGGCUCGUCCGGGAUCCUGUGUCCGGAUAGUAGCUAAGGAAUUCGAGUGAUCUAAUUUAAUUCGGGUGAUCCACGUUCUCUGGUUAGACAGAGUAAGCCAGCGGGGCUGUGCUUAGCGCCAGUCCUGACAACGGUUUACUGUUUAUUAUUUUGCCUUUCUUAUUUUAGUUUGUUAUUUUUGGAGGUACUCCGGGGGAGAGAGCGAUCUCUUAAUCGGUACCCUCUGAAGACUAGAGAGGAAAAGUUAGCUUUAUGGGUUAGGUAAGUAGGCCCAGAGAAUGUUGGAUUAUCCUGAUUAUUUCUGCAUAUUGUUGUUUAAAAAUGGCAACGUUUGAGUUAAGCCGAUUUUUAGAUCAACCAAAUGUUGAAGUUUUAGGGACAUGUCGAAAAAGUGAUUUGUCUCUUAUUGCUCAACAUUAUGGGAUUCCUUUUUCUAGAACACUAAGAAAAGCAGAGUUAAAAGAUUGUUUAGUGGCUGGCUUGGUUAAUAAAGGUGUUUUUUCGGCCAUGGAGUCUAGUCCCACUGUAGCGGCGGAGUUAGAGGCACCAGCGGCUGCGGGAACUUCGCCUUUACGCGUAUCGCGUGGUGGUCCAGUAACUCCCUUGGUGGGGGUUGGUGCGGAGGAAGGUUUAGCCUACUCGAUGCCUAAAUUUGAGCCUCUUUCUCUUUCAACAGAAUCAACAGGGAGUCGCUCAGAUGCACGUCUAAAACUACGUUUAGCACGGCUGCAGUUGGAGACCCAGGACCGAGCUCAGGCAAGGCAGGAUGACUUGAAGCGUCAGAUCGAAAUGUAUCGAAUUGAUGCUGAUACCAAAGUACGACUGCGGGAGUUGGAGUUACAGGCUGCGCCCGAGUGCACCGGUGCUGUCCGCCCCCGACCUGACUCGUCCGUUCCAGCUGGAGGUGGACGCCAGCGCGGUUGGAGUGGGAGCUGUCCUUCUGCAGGAGGGUGCUGACAACCUAGGCCACCCUGUAUCAUACUUCUCAGCUAAGUUCAACAGUCAUCAGUUGAAUUAUUCAACCAUUGAAAAAGAGACCUUAGCUCUGUUGCUAGCGUUACAACAGUUUAACGUCUACGUGGGGGCUAGUGCGUCUCCUGUCGUUGUUUAUACAGAUCAUAAUCCACUUGUUUUUCUGAGCAAAAUGUAUAACCAAAAUCAACGACUCAUGCGUUGGGCCUUAAUGGUUCAGCCGUACAAUCUUGAGAUCCGUCAUAAAAGAGGCUCUGACAACGUAGUUGCAGAUGCAUUGUCUCGCGGAUUAAUUUAGGAACAGGUUUUUCUGUAUGAAUCCAUGCAGAAUCAGUUUUUCUUUUUCCCUCUAAGGAAGGAGGAAAAGAGGAAGGAAAAAAAAUGAUUCUUCCUCUAGGGGGGGAAGUGUUACGGCCACAGCCUUCUGAGUUUGUUACUUUUGUAAUUAUUAAUUGGUUUGGCCUUUCUGAGUGCAGGCUCUGCCCCUGCGCACCUGAGAGCGGUUGCGGUGAUGGCUCAGGCUGAGCAUAUAGAGGGGAGAGCGACUGAGCGCCGGGAAAGGAGGAGACCUGCGAGAGCGCCAGGCCCGGCUGCAACACCAGGAGACCAGUGUUUUGUGUUCGAGCGACUAUUGUGUUAUGUUAAGGUGUAAAACGGAGAGGCUGGAGGUUGGAAAACUAUAAAAGAUCUUUGCAUCGCUUCCUGCCUAUCGCGUUUUCUUUAUGUUGCUGACCCCUUGGCUGAACGAGCCUUCACCCUAUCGAGGGGUUCGUAACA
ensembl:lncRNA